AUCUAUGGUCACACCACCCUGAACAUGCCCUAUCUUGUCUGAUCCCGGAGGCUAAGCAGGGUUGGACGGUUACUACUUAGAUG
rnacentral:rRNA from 1 species